CGUAGGGGAACCUGCGGAAGGAUCAUUACCGAGUUGAUUCGAGCUCCGGCUCGACUCUCCCACCCAAUGUGUACCUACCUCUGUUGCUUUGGCGGGCCGCGGUCCUCCGCACCGGCGCCCUUCGGGGGGCUGGCCAGCGCCCGCCAGAGGACCAUAAAACUCCAGUCAGUGAACUUCGCAGUCUGAAAAACAAGUUAAUAAACUAAAACUUUCAACAACGGAUCUCUUGGUUCUGGCAUCGAUGAAGAACGCAGCGAAAUGCGAUAAGUAAUGUGAAUUGCAGAAUUCAGUGAAUCAUCGAAUCUUUGAACGCACAUUGCGCCCCUUGGUAUUCCGAGGGGCAUGCCUGUUCGAGCGUCAUUUCAACCCUCAAGCUCUGCUUGGUAUUGGGCUCCGUCCUCCACGGACGCGCCUUAAAGACCUCGGCGGUGGCGUCUUGCCUCAAGCGUAGUAGAAAACACCUCGCUUUGGAGCGCACGGCGUCGCCCGCCGGACGAACCUUUGAAUUAUUUCUCAAGGUUGACCUCGGAUCAGGUAGGGAUACCCGCUGAACUUAAGCAUAUCAAUA
rnacentral:rRNA from 1 species